rnacentral:rRNA from 1 species
UGGGGAAUAUUGGACAAUGGGCGAAAGCCUGAUCCAGCAAUGCCGCGUGAGUGAUGAAGGCCUUAGGGUUGUAAAGCUCUUUUACCAGGGAUGAUAAUGACAGUACCUGGAGAAUAAGCCCCGGCUAACUCCGUG